rnacentral:tRNA from 1 species
GGCGCGUUGGUCCAGCGGAACGGACACCGGCCCUCACGCCGAAGACGCGGGUUCGACUCCCGCACGCGCUA